GGGUUGUGAGGUUAAGCGACUAAGCGUACACGGUGGAUGCCCUGGCAGUCAGAGGCGAUGAAGGACGUGCUAAUCUGCGAUAAGCGUCGGUAAGGUGAUAUGAACCGUUAUAACCGGCGAUUUCCGAAUGGGGAAACCCAGUGUGUUUCGAUACACUAUCAUUAACUGAAUCCAUAGGUUAAUGAGGCGAACCGGGGGAACUGAAACAUCUAAGUACCCCGAGGAAAAGAAAUCAACCGAGAUUCCCCCAGUAGCGGCGAGCGAACGGGGAGCAGCCCAGAGCCUGAAUCAGUGUGUGUGUUAGUGGAAGCGUCUGGAAAGGCGCGCGAUACAGGGUGACAGCCCCGUACACAAAAAU
rnacentral:rRNA from 2 species